GAUGAACGCUGGCGGCGUGCCUAAUACAUGCAAGUCGAGCGAACGGACGAGAAGCUUGCUUCUCUGAUGUUAGCGGCGGACGGGUGAGUAACACGUGGAUAACCUACCUAUAAGACUGGGAUAACUUCGGGAAACCGUAGCUAAUACCGGAUAAUAUUUUGAACCGCAUGGUUCAAAAGUGAAAGACGGUCUUGCUGUCACUUAUAGAUGGAUCCGCGCUGCAUUAGCUAGUUGGUAAGGUAACGGCUUACCAAGGCAACGAUGCAUAGCCGACCUGAGAGGGUGAUCGGCCACACUGGAACUGAGACACGGUCCAGACUCCUACGGGAGGCAGCAGUAGGGAAUAUUGCACAAUGGGCGGAAGCCUGAUGCAGCAACGCCGCGUGCGGGAUGACGGCCUUCGGGUUGUAAACCGCUUUCGCCUGUGACGAAGCGUGAGUGACGGUAAUGGGUAAAGAAGCACCGGCUAACUACGUG
rnacentral:rRNA from 1 species